UACGUAGGCAGCGAGCGUUUGUUCGGAAUUACUGGGCGUAAAGAGUGUGUAGGCGGUGCUCUAAGUUUGGUGUGAAAUCUCCCGGCUCAACUGGGAGGGUGCGCCGAAUACUGAGGGGCUAGAGUGUGGGAGAGGAAAGUGGAAUUCCAGGUGUAGCGGUGAAAUGCGUAGAUAUCUGGAGGAACACCGGUGGUGUAAACGGCUUUCUGGACCAUAACUGACGCUGAGGCACGAAAGCGUGGGUAGCAAACAGG
rnacentral:rRNA from 1 species